GACGAACGCUGGCGGCGUGCUUAACACAUGCAAGUGGAGCGACGAAGCGGGCUUCGGCCCGUGGCAGAGCCGCGAACGGGUGAGUAACACGUGGGUAACCUACCCUGAUGACCGGGACAACCCGAGGAAACUCGGGCUAAUACCGGAUGUUCUGGGCCCUUUUGAGGGGGUUCAGUAAAGAUAGCUUCGGCUUUCGCAUUGGGACGGGCCCGCGGCCCAUUAGCUUGUUGGUGGGGUAAUGGCCUACCAAGGCUGCGAUGGGUAGCUGGUCUGAGAGGACGAUCAGCCACACUGGGACUGAGACACGGCCCAGACUCCUACGGGAGGCAGCAGUGGGGAAUCUUGCGCAAUGCGCGAAAGCGUGACGCAGCAACGCCGCGUGGGGGAAGAAGGCCUUCGGGUUGUAAACCCCUUUCAGUUGGGACGAAGCUUCCAGGGUUAAUAGCUUUGUGGAGUGACGGUACCUUCAGAAGAAGCCCCGGCUAACUACGUGCCAGCCGCCGCCGUAACAC
rnacentral:rRNA from 1 species